GAUGAAGAACGUAGCGAAAUGCGAUAAGUAAUGUGAAUUGCAGAAUUCAGUGAAUCAUCGAAUCUUUGAACGCACAUUGCGCCCGCUAGUAUUCUGGCGGGCAUGCCUGUCCGGGCGUCAUUUCAACCCUCAAGCCCCCGGGCUUGGUGUUGGGGAUCGGCGAGCCUCCGCGCCCGCCGUCCCCUAAAUCUAGUGGCGGUCUCGCUGUAGCUUCCUCUGCGUAGUAGCACACCUCGCACUGGGAAACAGCGCGGCCACGCCGUUAAACCCCCAACUUCUGAACGUUUGACCUCGGAUCAGGUAGGAAUACCCGCUGAACUUAAGCAUAUCAAUAAGCGGAGGA
rnacentral:misc_RNA from 1 species